rnacentral:rRNA from 1 species
CCUACGGGGGGCAACAGUGGGGAAUAUUGCACAAUGGGGGAAACCCUGAUGCAGCGACGCCGCGUGAGUGAAGAAGUAAUUCGUUAUGUAAAGCUCUAUCAGCAGGGAAGAAAAUGACGGUACCUGAGUAAGAAGCCCCGGCUAACUACGUGCCAGCAGCCGCGGUAAUACGUAGGGGGCAAGCGUUAUCCGGAUUUACUGGGUGUAAAGGGAGCGUAGACGGCAGUGCAAGUCUGGAGUGAAAGGCGGGGGCUCAACCCCCGGACUGCUCUGGAAACUGGACGGCUUGAGUGGAGGAGAGGUAAGUGGAAUUCCUAGUGUAGCGGUGAAAUGCGUAGAUAUUAGGAGGAACACCAGUGGCGAAGGCGGCUUACUGGAGGGUAACUGACGUUGAGGCUCGAAAGCGUGGGGAGCAAACAGGAUUAGAUACCCUAGUAGUC